rnacentral:ncRNA from 1 species
UCAAAAACAAAGACCGGAACAAGUAGGACAGAUCCCCUUCUUUAAGAGAGCUCUUGGUAGCUGUGAAAGAGCAGAAGCAUUUGUCAGAACACAUCCGUGAGUUGCGUUUCUGAAUCCAGUAGGAAAAACCGGCGGCCCGUUAUCCCUCUAGUCAUAGACUAAUGGAGUGUGCUUUUGUGAAAAAGUACAGUAUUGAGGUGGGACCGCGAGUUGUUACUUGCCCUCUUG